UCCUUCUUAUCGAAGGCAGUUCUCGGAGAGUGCAUCCCUUGCGGGAUUAGCAACAUCGAGUAGGGGUUGCGCUCGUUGCGGGACUUAACCCAACAUCUCACGACACGAGCUGACGACAACCAUGCAGCACCUCUGCUCGUUUCCUUGCAGAUCGGCCACCGUUUCUGGCAGCCUACUACGAGUAGUUCAAGCCCGGGUAAGGUUCUCCGCGUUGCGUCGAAUUAAACCACAUGCUCCACCGCUUGUGCGGGCCCCCGUCAAUUCCUUUGAGUUUCAGCCUUGCGGCCGUACUCCCCAGGCGGGGCACUUAAUGCGUUAGCGCCGGCACUCAGAGGGUCGCUCCCCCAAGCACCUAGUGCCCAUCGUUUACGGCGUGGACUAC
rnacentral:misc_RNA from 1 species